GCCGCCGUGGACGAGAUGGGAGACCGCGAGCCCUUUCCGCGGGUACGGUCCCGAACGGGGGUACGAGUUCCUCCGGAAGCCC
rnacentral:tRNA from 1 species